UACUCGAGCGGCGAACGGGUGAGUAACACGUGAGCAACCUGCCCCCGACUCUGGGAUAAGCCCGGGAAACUGGGUCUAAUACCGGAUACGACACACCACCGCAUGGUGGGGUGUGGAAAGUUUUUCGGUCGGGGAUGGGCUCGCGGCCUAUCAGCUUGUUGGUGGGGUAGUGGCCCACCAAGGCGACGACGGGUAGCCGGCCUGAGAGGGCGACCGGCCACACUGGGACUGAGACACGGCCCAGACUCCUACGGGAGGCAGCAGUGGGGAAUAUUGCACAAUGGGGGAAACCCUGAUGCAGCGACGCCGCGUGCGGGAUGACGGCCUUCGGGUUGUAAACCGCUUUCAGCAGGGACGAAAACAGACGGUACCUGCAGAAGAAGCGCCGGCUAACUACGUGCCAGCAGCCGCGGUAAUACGUAGGGCGCAAGCGUUGUCCGGAAUUAUUGGGCGUAAAGAGCUCGUAGGCGGUCUGUCGCGUCGGAUGUGAAAGCUCGAGGCUUAACCUCGGGUCUGCAUCCGAUACGGGCAGACUAGAGGCAGGUAGGGGAGAACGGAAUUCCCGGUGUAGCGGUGAAAUGCGCAGAUAUCGGGAGGAACA
rnacentral:rRNA from 1 species